rnacentral:rRNA from 1 species
CCUACGGGGGACAGCAGUCGAGAAUCAUUCACAAUGGGGGAAACCCUGAUGCAGCGACGCCGCGUGAGUGAAGAAGUAUUUCGGUAUGUAAAGCUCUAUCAGCAGGGAAGAAGCAAGACGGUACCUGACUAAGAAGCCCCGGCUAACUACGUGCCAGCAGCCGCGGUAAUACGUAGGGGGCAAGCGUUAUCCGGAUUUACUGGAUGUAAAGGGAGCGUAGACGGUAUGGCAAGUCUGAAGUGAAAGCCCAGGGCUUAACCCUGGGACUGCUUUGGAAACUGUUAGACUAGAGUGCUGGAGAGGUAGGCGGAAUUCGUGGUGUAGCGGUGAAAUGCUUAGAUAUCACGAAGAACUCCGAUUGCGAAGGCAGCUUACUAAACUGCCACUGACAUUGAUGCUCGAAAGUGUGGGUAUCAAACAGGAUUAGAUACCCUAGUAGUC